UCCUCCGGGCAGGCUCGGAGCUGAUGUGGGUUCCUUCCCGUGUCCUUUCCCCAGAAGAAGGAACAACGCUGCCACCAGUUAUGCCGGGGCCCAGGGACCCCGAGCGUCCUCAGCAUCAUCCUCGGCCCUCGAAGCUCCUUGGAGAACCGACGGGCAGGACGCCAGCCCGGGAGGGAGGCCGCGCACGGGGCCCAGGGGCUUGGUGGCUGCAGGCCGCACGGUCUCCUCGGUCACCCCUCGAUCACUCCCACGUGCAGGUCCACCCAUGCUGUUGCGAAUGAUGUGAGUGCGUUCUCUUCCCCGGCCGAGUAACAUUCCACGGGGCGCGCGGCAUCUGCUCCUCCUACCGCGUCCUCGCACGCAUCCCAUCGGCACCUCAUCUCGGCUCCUGCCCCGGAGCCCCGUACGUGGGGCGCCAGCGCGCUCAUGU